rnacentral:misc_RNA from 1 species
CCCCACGACGCGCGAAGAAAAGAACACACAGUAAGGAAAGCGAAAAAAUACGAAGCGAAAGACGUCGCCUCUUGCUUGUCUCCUCCCCUCCCCUUCUCUCUCCUCAAAUCCUUCAGUCCCUCACAGCACCGUGAUGCCAAUCGCUCCUCGCCAAGGCCGCAAAGGGGGGAAGAUAUCCUCCUCGCCGGCUAUCGCCUCGUCGGACUCGCCGUCGAUGGUGUCGCCUGGUUCGCUGCCGUCUGGCAGCGCUGGCAUCUCCCUCCCCACAGAUCCUAACACGACUCUGCAAUUCAACAUCGAGGCUCUGAUGAGUAAGAAGCGUCGCAGCCCUUCCAAGGCAAAGGCUGCGGCGCGCGCGAACGAGUCCAGCGCAUCCGCUUCCUCGGCGACGGAGGCGGUCAAGGCAGCCAGCGGCACAAGGGGCGCCUCCACUACCGCGGCUGCGGGGUCCGCCGGGGCGUCUGCCGCGGCCGGUCCCGCGGAGACAAUCGCGAACCCCUCGCUUGUGACGCCACCCGGCGCGGACUCGAACGUCUUCAAGUUCGACCUCGACGCCAUCCAGCAAGUUGGCCAGGGCGUCGUGUUCGGCGGCAAUAAGACGAUGCGGACGGAUUCGCACAAGCCCGAUUCGGACCCAGCGGUGGUGUCUGCAAAGCUGAAACAGUUGAUCGCCUCCCAGGACGCAUACUUCCACGGUGGCAACGCCGCGGCCGCCGACGUCGAGAGCGACGAAGUGCUGGGGUUAAAGGAGGUAGCCUCACAUCAAGUAGUGCUGCUGCAGCGACCCUACGCGGCUCUGCGUCUCGCUGUCGCGCUUAGCCGAAAAAGCAAAGAGCGCGUGCUGGUGGUGGUGCCGCAUUACUCAGACGUCUCCGAUAUCGCGGCGGCGCUGCGGGCGCUGAGCCCAUCUCGCGGCCCCGUCGGCGAGCUGAGCGGGCAGUCGUUUGUCGGCGAGGCGGACACAGCACUGUGGGUGACGGAUGUGGAUACGGCGCUUGUGUACCUAACAUCGCAGCGCGGCAUGGGGCCGUUCACGCAUCUCGUGCUGCCCAACCUGACACGCAUGAAUCCACUGGUCUCCUACUUCUUGUGGGGUCUGCGGGAACGCGUGUACCGGCAAAGCGCCAUCCUGGACACGACCGCCCCGCCGCUGCACGUCAUUGUAAGCGUCAGCGGUGCCAUGACGGAGCGGAUGCAGCAGUUCUUCGCGAAGCAGACGGUGGCGACGCCAAACACGGCGCCGGUGCAGCCCCUCGUUGAGUUCUCGUACGAUGAGGCGAACGCGCUGGCAGAGAUGGACGUGUUGGAUGUCACGAUCGAUGAGUCUGGCAAGUACCCUGGCCCACACCGCAAGAUCAUCGACCACUCCGUGCAAAUGGCGGCGACGCUGGUGGGCCGUAUUUUCUCCUGCUCCGCCGCGUGCCCGCAGGCUAUUUACAUCCUCACUGGUGACUCACGCGAGAUGAUCGACGCGCUACACAAGGAGCGCCUUCUCGACACAACGGUUUAUGCCGGGCGCUUCCCCUCCAAGGAGGACGCCGGCGCCACACCGUCGAAGCAUCGUGUGUGCGUGCUGCACUCCGUCGUCUCCUUCACGAACUACAACAACGAAGAUGCGACGUUUGUGCUGGACAUGGCAACGACCCGCCGCCUCGCCGUACAGAACAAGUCGGAGGGCUUCAUGGCUUCAAGCGCGUCGGAGUGGGCGUCGAAGAUGGACGUGGAGGAGCGCCGGCAGCUGCCCGGCGCCAAGUACCCCGGCUGCUACAUCGCCCUGUAUCCCCCGGCGGCCGAUGCCGUGCUGCCCACUACCGAGGCUCCCCAGCCGACGGUAUACGAGGUGGAGGACGCGCUGCUGCAGUGCUCACGAGCGCAGCUGCCGAUCCAGCGUGCGAACCAGGAGAUGGUGUGCCCGGUGGAGGCGGAGAGCAUUGAACAGGUGCAGCACAGUCUCUCGGAGAAGUGCCUCAUUGCGAACCUGUCCGAUUUCAGCCUCACCUUUACGGGCGAGAUAGCGUCGCGGCUGCCCCUCGAGGUGGACUUGGCUCAUUUCGUCAUGAACUGCUGCACACUUGGCCACGGCGAGGUCGGCGUCAUUGUGGCCGGCGUCUGCGCUCUACCAUACCGAUUUCCGACCGGCGAGUCAGCAGAGGGGUUUGCCUCGUGGAAGAGGUGUGUGAUUGAGACACGCCAAGAGUACGCUGGUGACAUUGCCAAUCAGAGUGAUCUCUUGGCCGAUGUGCUGGUGUUCCUGGAGUGGUGGCGGCUCAAGGCGAGCGGAGCCUCGACAGCCGACUUUGUGGCAAAGAUGCAGCUGAAAGAGGACCGCCUCGAGCACGUGCGCGGCCUCAUCACCUACCUGCGCGUCCAGAUCUCUGACUACGCUUUCGUCGACGACCUCGAGGACGAGGCAACCCUGUCGGCGGUGAUGCAGAGCAUCAAGUCAAACGCGUCCAUCUUUACCUUCUUUGAGGCCGUCGCCCUCGCUCGCCGGCUCUUCUUUGUACGCGACGCUGGCUCCAUCAACGUCAAGGAUCGGGCUGGCGCCUUGGUCUUUGUGCGGACGUCGAAGAAGGUUGUGCCCAACACCGCCAGCCCGAGCAGCGUGGUGUGGGAGUCCGGCGCCGCCUUGGUCGCCGUGGACCUGCGUAAUCUCGUUAGCAACAUCACCUGCGCUCGCGUUUCGGCGGUGAACAACACGUACCUGUUUGCGGCGCUGCUGCUGUUGUACCCGCAGGUGGAGUACUCUGCCCCAGUCGAGGUGCCCUCCAAGGGUGGCCGCGUCGUGUACUUUGGCGUCACAUGCAACCGCCAGAUGAAGCGCUUUCGCGUCAGCAUCGGUGAGGCUGCGCAGAUUCUUGAUUUCCGAGAGAAGUGGAACCAUGCGAUACGGUACCUGCAGGUCCUCCGCACAGCAAAGAAGCCGCUAUCGCGGCACAAGUUCAACUUUAUGCUGAAGGAAGAGGACCGCCACUUCGAUUUGGAGGAGCUGCGCGCGGAGGUGCAGCGGGAGCUGCAGAACCUCGUGACCGAGAUAGAGGUGGCGGAGCACCAGGCAAGCUUCACCACUCACGGAGUGCACUGCCUUGCGCCAAAACAAGUGGCAGGGAUUGCGGAUAGCGUCGACGCGUCUGACGUGGAUGUGAGCAGGAAGUUCCACGACGGCGACCUCUGGACAAGUUCCUUUGCCUCCAAGACAGACACGCCUGCAACCAUGGCGGCAGCCACGAGCAUUACCGCCAACCACGCGCUCACUACAACACAAUCAUCAGCUCUUACGUUCCCGAUGAAUGCGGUCAGCAUCGAUGAUGACGAGGACGACGAAGUUGAGGUGAUGGAGGAGCUGUAUUUCCGCAUGAACGGUCCCAUCAUUGACGAUGACGAGUAGAGUCGAUGUAGAUGGCGUAAAGAGAGAGAGGGAGCAAGGGAAGAAAAGAAGUGGCGUACGAGAGAAGGCGCGCGCAGCCCUCAAUGACGGCGGCAAAGGAAGAUGCGGAGGCAAGAGCGCAAAAAAAAAAAGAACUGCAAGAUUCUACACACACACGCACACAAUGAUAAUACGACAAGUACGAAAGGAGCGGUGCUGUUGUGUGUCUCUGUGCGUUGGAGGAUCGACUUCUACUAGAUGAUGGGAGAAUGGCGGUUGCUGCAGGCUUCGAGCAAGAGAAAGAGGCACACCGUGCGCCUCUGCGCAUGUGCGUAUAUAUGUGUAUGUGUAUGUGCCUGCUUGCGAAUAACACUCUUUUCUGUUUUUUCUUUGAUUGCCUGGUCUCAUUCAUUUUUCUCAUCAUGCCGUUGCAGCGCCACGCCGCUUUUACUUGCCCGCCUUCCGCUUUCCUUUGCAUCUCUCCGCUGUGAAGUGAUUCAUCGCGAACUCUCUCUCUGCCGCCAUUCGUGUAUUGAGAAGAUACCCGAGUGGGUGUAUGCAGGGGAUUCACCUUGGGAGCAGGUACCAUGGUGGCUCACCAGAGGACGGAUGACCUUGCCACAUCGUGUGAGCAUGCGCUCCGACGAUGCAUGAGAUGGUGUUGGACGGAUUCAUGUGCCAACCUUCUCGCCCCUCGCUCGUUCCUCUACCCCCUCUCUUUCGCUGUCCUAACCCUCCCUGCCUGUUUGUCGGACUGCCCUUAUCCUGCGUUCUCUAUCUUCUUGUGUUUGAGCGGGCGGUGAUGAUGCGUAUACAG